rnacentral:rRNA from 1 species
AGUGAACGCUGGCGGUAGGCCUAACACAUGCAAGUCGAACGGCAGCACAGUAAGAGCUUGCUCUUACGGGUGGCGAGUGGCGGACGGGUGAGGAAUACAUCGGAAUCUACUUUUUCGUGGGGGAUAACGUAGGGAAACUUACGCUAAUACCGCAUACGACCUACGGGUGAAAGCAGGGGAUCUUCGGACCUUGCGCGAUUGAAUGAGCCGAUGUCGGAUUAGCUAGUUGGCGGGGUAAAGGCCCACCAAGGCGACGAUCCGUAGCUGGUCUGAGAGGAUGAUCAGCCACACUGGAACUGAGACACGGUCCAGACUCCUACGGGAGGCAGCAGUGGGGAAUAUUGGACAAAGGGCGCAAGCCUGAUCCAGCCAUACCGCGUGGGUGAAGAAGGCCUUCGGGUUGUAAAACCCUUUUGUUGGGAAAGAAAAGCAGCAGGUUAAUACCCCGCUGUUCUGACGGUACCCAAAGAAUAAGCACCGGCUAACUUCGUG